AACAACUCACCUGCCGAAUGAAUUAGCCCUGAAAAUGGAUGGCGCUCAAGCGGGUGGCCGACACUAUGCCAUUUGAGCAAAAAUUGUCUCAAAUGAGUAGGGGGAACGUGGCGGUUGCUGAGAAGCGUUAUGCGUAAGCAUGCGUGGAGCGGCCCCUAAUGCAGAUCUUGGUGGUAGUAGCAAAUAUUCAAAUGAAAUCCUUGAAGGGUGAUGUGGGGAAGGGUUCCACGUGAACAUUGAUUGUCCGUGGGUUAGUCGGUCCUGAGCCGCUUGGUGAUUGCAAGCCAUCGGCGAAAGGGAAUCAGGUUAAUAUUCCUGAACUUGGCAGUGGAUGCGGUGACGCACGUCGGGAUGGUGAAGUCGUAGGUCGCACCGGGCAGAGAUUUCUUUUCUGUUUAACAAUUACAGCUCACUCUGUGGAAUUCGYUUGUCGAGAGAAACAGGUGGGUAAUGUAAAAGCGCCGGAAUUUUUCUGGCGUCCGGUUUGCACCUGCGUCCCAUGAAAAGCCAUUCGCUGGCACAAAAAACCUUGUUUUUUGUGUGUAAAAAUCCACUCCAAACCGUACCUAUAACCGCAUCAGGUCCCCAAGGUGAACAGCCUCUGCUAAAUAUGCUUAUU
rnacentral:rRNA from 1 species